CUCUUUCCCUGCAAGACGCUCUCGUAUAUUUCCCUCUCACCUUUCCCGGCUUGCAGCGCUCCUGAUCCUAUCGGUGAGCACACGGACGGAGGCCAUCAUCUCACAGCCAUCCAGGAGUGAUGGUUUUCAGUCCCCAGUGGGGAGGGCAUGCCUCCAAACUGCUGC